AGGAGACUUCACAUGUAAUGAACACUUUGAA
rnacentral:tRNA from 1 species